AAAAGAUACAAUACUUACUCGUACAUAUACAUUUAUGCAACAGGAUUAACAAGUUAAGUUAACAACCUUUUUUUUCUGGUGACCUUGUUGCAAAGUAUUCCACUAAUCUGUUUAUUAUUAAUUAAAUAAUCCUGUGUAGUGCAUACAUUAUGAGGCAUUUUAAAAAAAUAACUUAAUGAUUUCAUCAUAUUCAUAUGGUGCAUCAACCCAUUCCAAAGAGGUAAAGUAAUAUGGCAGAAUAUGAUAUAUUAUCAUCUAUGUACAGUGUUUUAACGAUACAUAAAAAAUGCCUAUCUUGGUUUGCAUUAUUUGCCCGUUAUAUAUCAGAGCGUAUCCCUAUAAGGACCAAAAUCUGAUGAAUAUCCCAUAGGCUCCUGUACAAAACUUGCCAUUGAAUAUGAGACCGUAUUCAAAUUCUAGGGCUCAUGCGUGAAUGUGUGAAAUAUGCAACGCGUACAACAACGAAAGCAAAGCGAUCACAGCAUAGAUCACAGUGACACUCAAUGACAUCAUAGUGAACUACAUGUAAGUCACCGAGCCUGUUAAAGACCAAAUUUGAUGUUAUGAAGUGACAAAUUAAAAUCUAUUUUUUUGGGGGGGGAUGGGAUUAAUGAUAGUAAUAAUUUUUGGAUGACUUUAUUUCAUGGAAUACCAGAAAUAUUCCCCUUGUUAGGGUCAAUAUUCCACUUAUCUGUGAUUCGUGGAAUAUUUGUCCAAACUCUUGGAAUAUGUCUGGUAUUCUAUUCUGAGCCAUCCAGUAUAAUAUAAUUAUCCAGUUAAAAUAAACACUGUAUUGUAAAAUUCUAAAGAUGGAAUUGUGUUAUGUAUCUAUAUGAAACCGUGUUUAUGUAUAUUAUAUUUACCUAUGUAGUGCAAUUUUAUGUUGAUAUCUAUUUGAGUGUAUCUUUGAGGAAAGUUGUGCAAGGGAGAGACAUUAGAUGUGCUAUUAUUUGUCUCAAGGUGUAAAGUGAAUACAAUUAUUUCUGAUCUGGUUGCAUGUGUAUUAAAGUAUUCACCUGAUUUUGAGCUCUAUGUUAUAUCAUGUAGGUAUUUUAUGUUGCAAAGUUUAUCUUAUAUGUUCCGUUAUGUCAGUUGAAAUUUGAAAUAUUAUACAUUCCUCAUUCUGUUUUCCAGCUGUUUAUGAGGACCAUGUUGUGUAUUAGUUUGGUGGGCUGUGAUUUUAUCAAAAUUCUUGUAAAUGGGUUAAACUCCAGAAUAUUUUUUGUGAACAUUCAUCAUCUAAAAAAUAUUUCACCUGUCCCCAAAAGAAGUCUUCUUGUCGCAAAAUCUGAUGAUGAACUUUAUAUAUUCUUUUUUUUAGAAUGAAUAAAUCAUUGAAAUAAGAAUUUUGGAUAGGAUACAUAUAUAUCAUAUGUUAUUACCAUGUCACUUUAUCAUUGGUCUGCUACAUGUAGUUAGACUCUAACUCAAAUAAUUUAUGUGAUUUAAGAUAACAACUUUCUCUCGUCUUUCUCUUUUAAGUUUUAGUUGUAAUUUGUUAUUGUGGAAUAUCUAGAGUAUGAUGAAACUAUAUAUUGAUUUUGUUAAGAACAGCAAAGUAAUGGCCUGUCAAAAUAAUUAUAGUUUUGGUUAGAUUUUCCUUUAACUCUGUCUAGAAAGAAAUUUAUAUACAUAUUUAUUUCUCUCCAUUAUUGGAAGAUUUCUCUUUGCUUAAAGUAGUAAAUCUACCCCCCCCCCCCUCCUGGAAAAAAUCCUGGAAUUCGGUAGUAUAUGAUUAUACACUGAUUCUUUGUAUUUUAGUCACAAAGUAGUAAAUAUGAAGUUGAUUCACUACUCCUUCCCCCCAGAAAUCAAAGCCAUCAAUUAAAAUAUUAAAAAAAAAGAUAUUCAAGAAAGUAAGAAUGAACCUCCCCCUUCCCAUUACCCCUCACCCCCUUCCUUCUUACCCCAUAUGUAAAGGCCAAAAUUGAAUUUCAUGUAAGUUUUGUACUGUAGUGUUCAAAAAGCAGAGAGAAGUUUCACACAUUUGUAUAUUGUUUACCUCCCUUUGUUAUUUCAGACGGACUUUGGGGUUUGGUGGAGAAGAAAUUGCUAUAUUAAUCUAUAACACUAGAGAGAUAUCAGUAUUACAGCUGUUACAGAUCAAUAUUUUUCUAUCGGUGAUUAUUUCUUGUCACCUUAUUCACAUGUAUCAACUGAUGGCCGUGUAAGCCCAAUGUUAAAGAACGCUUCUGUCCAUCCAUCUUGAGAAUCCACUCUGAAUACAUGUACCAUCCAAAGUUGCCAUAGAUACAUGUACCUCUGGUAAAUAUACGUGUUUUAAAUGAUUUAAAUAAAGGACAGAAAAUUGUUAGACAACAAGUGAACUACUGCGACUAACUAUAUAUGUGUGUAUAUAUAUAUAUCUAUAUAUAUAUAUAUAUAAUGUAUAACUAUAACAUUGUAAUAUUAUAGACAACUUUCAAUUAUAACCGAGAGUUUGCUAAAAACUUGGACAUUUAUUUUAUGAGCAUUUUAGAGUAAAGGCAUCGUUUCCUGAAUGCCAUUUUGUAAGUUGAAAAGAAAUAUUUAUAUAUGCCAUCAUUUGGUUAUUAUGAGGAUGUUUGUGCAUAGGAUAUGUGCAACUCAAGCUUACAAUAUUUGUUUGUAUUUAAAUCUCAUAUAGUGAUUAUCAUGGAAACUAUUUACAGAAAUCUUAUUUGAUUUGUGUACAUUCAUUUUAUUAGGGAAUAUUAGUAAUUGAAACAGCAGUAUAUUAGUUAAAGGUGUUUAAAAGUGACUUCUGAAGUCUAUGUAGUAUUAUUGUAUUAGAUCAUUUGAUCAUAUUUUGAAGGAUGUUGUCUAAUACUAAUAUGAUAAAUAAACCAUGGGGAAAUAUUCUAAUGAAUUAUAAUGGA